rnacentral:rRNA from 1 species
GACGAACCGAGCGAACGUUGUUCGGAAUCACUGGGCUUAAAGGGCGCGUAGGCGGGCGGUCAAGUCUGGGGUGAAAUGCCGCGGCUCAACCGUGGAACUGCCUUAGAUACUGACGGCCUCGAGGGAGGUAGGGGCGAGCGGAACUAAUGGUGGAGCGGUGAAAUGCGUUGAUAUCAUUAGGAACUCCGGUGGCGAAGGCGGCUCGCUGGAUCUCUUCUGACGCUGAGGCGCGAAAGCCAGGGGAGCAAACGGG